CCUACGGGGGGCAGCAGUGGGGAAUAUUGGGCAAUGGACGCAAGUCUGACCCAGCAACGCCGCGUGAAGGAAGAAGGCUUUCGGGUUGUAAACUUCUUUUAAGGGGGAAGAGCAGAAGACGGUACCCCUUGAAUAAGCAUCGGCUAACUCCGUGCCAGCAGCCGCGGUAAUACGUAGGGAGCGAGCGUUGUCCGGAUUUACUGGGUGUAAAGGGCGUGCAGCCGGCGAGACAAGUCAGAUGUGAAAUCCACGGGCUCAACCCGUGAAGAGCAGUUGAAACUGGUGCCCUUGAGUGGCAGAGAAGUAAGCGGAAUGCGUGGUGUAGCGGUGAAAUGCGUAGAUAUAGCGAAGAACACCAGUGGCGAAGGCGGAGUACCGGAUGAAAACUGACGGUGAGGCGCGAAAGCGUGGGUAGCGAACAGGAUUAGAUACCCUAGUAGUC
rnacentral:rRNA from 1 species